AUUUAAAUAGCUUAAAAUUAAGAGUAUAAUAUUGAAGAUAUUAGGGUGAUUAAUAAAUCUUUAAAUA
rnacentral:tRNA from 1 species